AGAUUGAACGCUGGCGGCAGGCCUAACACAUGCAAGUCGAGCGGUAGAGAGGUGCUUGCACCUCUUGAGAGCGGCGGACGGGUGAGUAAUGCCUAGGAAUCUGCCUAGUGGUGGGGGAUAACGUUCGGAAACGGGCGCUAAUACCGCAUACGUCCUACGGGAGAAGCGGGGACCUUCGGGCCUCGCGCCAUUAGAUGAGCCUAGGUCGAUUAGCUAGUUGGUGAGGUAAUGGCUCGACCAAGGCGACGAUCCGUAACUGGUCUGAGAGGAUGAUCAGUCACACUGGAACUGAGACACGGUCCAAGACUCCUACGGGAGGCAGCAAGGUGGGGAAUAUUCGGACAAGUGGGACGAAAGCCUGAUCCGAGCCAGUCGCCGCGUGU
rnacentral:rRNA from 1 species